rnacentral:lncRNA from 1 species
UCUUUCUCAAUAUUCUUUGUCAAAUAAGUGCUAUUUACUCAUUUAAUUGCUUAUCAGUUACUUAUUCUUGGUUUAAAAAGUUUAAUGACAAUUGCGUAUUUUUCUCAUUUUUAGUAGUAUUCGAAUGUUUAUAUUUUAAUAACUUUAAACCACUUAAAAUUUUUCAUGUAUAAUUGUUUAAGAAAAGCUAUUUUGAACAACCACAGAUGCAUCUAGCAACUAAUGUAUAUGUGAGUAGAUAUAAUUUAUAGUGGAAGACUGUAGUGUAUGGUAAUUUUUCUUUUAUUAUUAAGAUACCAUAAAUAUGACUAGUUUUUUGGUCACACAGUAAAUAAGUAAUGAUAAGUGAAUGGAGUUUUUAUAUUUUACUUUUAAAAUUGCCUGUCUUUAAUAAGACGAAGCCUUAAACCUUAUGUUAUAAUUUUGGUUUCAAAAACCAUCACUUCAGUAUGAGGAACUAAUAUAUUCAGUCUUCCUCUUUACUUUUUUCUUAUCUGUUUAUUUGUAUCUUGAAACUUUUCCAACUUGCUUUAAAUUCCUAGUAUGAAUUUUUGCUUCUUAGAAGUUAAUUUGUGUGAAAUGAGAUUCUACAAAACACUGAACCCUCAUAGUUCUGAGAAAUGGUUUUAAGAUUUAACGUUCUAAGCAAACCAUGACUCUGGCAGACUACACAUUUAAUUACACAGUGUUCUCUUUAUUAACUGCAGGCAGAUUAACCUCAUUGUGGACUGUCCUUGAGACCUGAGUCCUCAGGGCUGGUUUCCGGUGCCUGCUCCAGGAAGCCACUGAAGAGCUGUUCUCUUUCUGCCUUCUCUCCAGAGCCCAAGGACAAGCCUGGUCUGGGGGAAGCACUAGCUUGCUUAGAACAGACAGCUGCCGAGACAGCCCAGGCUGAGGCACGUGCAGCCCCGAGCCUGCCCCAGAGCCCGUCUUUCCCAGGGAGCCUCCUUCUGGCCGAGAUGGUCAGUGACUUCAGGGAGCAUGCUUCAGUGGAACUUGCAAGGAGCAAAGAACAGAUAAUGUGCUUUUUAACCAAGAACAGAUAAGGUAAUUUUUAAUCAGACAUUAAUAUAGCUCACUUGCACUGUGCUGAACAGGU